rnacentral:lncRNA from 1 species
UACUUCAUGAUGGUACAGGUACUUCAUGGGUAGUACAGGUACUUCAUGGGUAGUACAGAUACUUCAUGGAUAGUACAGAUACUUCAUGGAUGAUACAGUUACUUCAUGGGGAGUACAGGUACUUCAUGGGGAGUACAGGUACUUCAUGGAUAGAACAGGUACUUCAUGGAUGGUACAGGUACUUCACGGGUAGUACAGGUACUUCAUGGUUAGAACAGGUACUUCAUGGGUAGAACAGGUACUUCGUGGGUAGAACAGAUACUUCAUGGAUAGUACAGGUACUUCAUGGAUAGAACAGGUACUUCAUGCAUAGUACAGAUACUUCAUGGAUAGUACAGGUACUUCAUGCAUAGUACAGAUACUUCAUGGAUAGUACAGGUACUUCAUGGGUAGAACAGGUACUUCAUGGAUAGAACAGGUACUUCAUGGGUAGUACAGGUACUUCAUGGAUAGAACAGGUACUUCAUGGGUAGAACAGGUACUUCCUGGAUGGUACAGGUACUUCAUGGGUAGUACACAUUCUUCAUAUAUAGUACAGAUACUUCAUGAUGGUACAGGUACUUCAUGGGUAGUACAGGUACUUCAUGGAUAGAACAGGUACUUCGUGGAUGGUACAGGUACUUCGUGGGUAGUACAGGUACUUCAUGGUUAGAACAGGUACUUCAUGGGUAGUACAGGUACUUCAUGGAUAGAACAGGUACUUCAUGGGUAGAACAGGUACUUCAUGGAUAGACCAGGUACUUCAUGGAUAGAACAGGUAAUUCAUGGGUAGUACAGGUACUUCAUGGAUAGUACAGAUACUUCAUGGGUAGUACAGGUACUUCAUGGGUAGGUCAGGUACUUCAUGGAUAGACCAGGUACUUCAUGGAUAGAACAGGUACUUCAUGGAUAGAAUAGGUACUUCAUGGGUAGUACAGAUACUUCAUGGAUAUACAUGGUACUUCAUGGAUAGUACAGAUACUUCAUGGGUAGUACAGGUACUUCAUGGAUAGAACAGGUACUUCAUGGGUAGAACAGGUACUGUGUAAUAGACUAUUCACAGUCCCUUUGUACGGUCCUUUAUAAUGUUGCUUUCACUCAUUUUGCUUUACCAUAUGCUGUAAUCACCCAAUUCACUGUUACUAUUAUUACUUUGAACAAAGAGUUAUCAAUUAGAUCAAUUGAGAAUAAGAAAUGUAAAGGUUAUAUUUUACAUUAGCUUAUUCGUUUCCCAAUGCUCUUCCUUUCUUUAUGUGCAUCUAAGUUCCUGACCUGUAUAGUUUUUCUUCUUCCUGAG